GUUGAUCUGAAACCUUCUGCCUGCAUCUUUAGUUCUCCUUGAAAUAGUUAUCAGGGCUGGGUUAAGAAUUUUUCAGCUGGAUUUUUUUUUUUUAUGCCAAAAAGCAGAAAUCAAGCUUGUUAGGGACUUGCACUUUUUAUUUCUGUCAAAUGGUACAGAAAGUUUUCCCCUCUAACAAUUCCAUUUCCACGAGUCAUAGCAUUUUGUUAUGAUAUUUUUAAGUGCAUGUUUCUUUCUUUUUUUUUUUUUCUUGGUGUUCUGAACAACCCAAUGCUUCAAAUUUUCUUUUUUAAUGUAUACAUUAUUGUCACUGUUGUGCAGAAGUAAUAAUUCAGGACAACUGCUUUCAAAUCGUUCUCAGAAGCAGCCAUUGUAGAACACUUAUUUUCUUCAGCAAUUCGCCACCACAUGAUUCUCUCUCCCUCUCUCUCUUUUUUUUUUUUUUUUUAGUUUCAAAGGGAAGUGACAUGCUCAUCUCUAAGAAGAAAAAAGGAACCAAAACUCUUCUUAUAGCAGCUGGACUGAGGUUGCACGAACCAUCAACAUCAUAGCAGUUAAAGGAAAGAAGAGGAUAGAGUGAAACAGUUUCUAGUUUUGUAGGCGUCUGAACUGAAAGGUCUUUGAUGUAUGCUGCUGAGAAUUGCAGGAUCCCGUGAAAUAGGCCUUAAAACAACAAAUCAGUCUUCAGUUGCUGCUCGUUUCACAAAACAGUUAAACAUUUCAGGGAAUACCUUCCAGACUCCAGGAAGAAGGACAGAAGAGAUGAAGUGCAUGAGAUCUGAACUUGGAAGAUGACUGAGGAUUUGCACCUGCUGGGGAUGGAGAGUAAGAUAUAGUGGCAAAGCUCUGUGAAUGCUGAAGGAAAAUAACUGCAGUCUAAAUACAUGAGGGUAGAAGGACUCACAGUGGUAAGAAAACAGUAACUAUAUGGCUUAGACCACAAAUGGUAGUGAUGCUAUACUAUUGUGGAAAUGGUGUGGAAAGUUCACUUUGAUGGAUUAAUG
rnacentral:lncRNA from 1 species